CUCAACCCCGGUAAUUCAAGCCAAUUCCAAAACCUGUGGUUUCUUGGAGUUAAAUGCAGAAGGUAGGGCGGAAUUCCCCGUUGUAGCCGGUGGGAAUUGCGUUAGAUUAUUCCGGGGAGGGAACCACCCGUGGCGAAAGGCGGGCCUACUGGGCAUCAACCUGAACGCCUGGAAGGCCUCCGAAAAGCAUGGGUAGCAAAACAGGGAUUAGAUACCCCUGGGUAGGUCCCAUGCUGUAAACGAUGAUUACUAGGGUGUGGGGAAGAUUGACCCCUUCCGUGCCGCAGUUAACACAAUAAGUAAUCCACCUGGGGGAGUACGACCGCAAGGUUGAAACUCAAAGGGAAUUUGACGGGGGCCCGCACAAGCAGUGGAGUAUGUGGUUUAAUUCGAAGCAACGCGAAGAACCUUACCAGGUCUUGACAUCCAACGACCGCCUAAGAGAUUAGGCUUUCCUUCGGGACGUUGAGACAGGUGGUGCAUGGUUGUCGUCAGCUCGUGUCGUGAGAUGUUGGGUUAAGUCCCGCAACGAGCGCAACCCUUAUUACUAGUUACUACGCAAGAGGACUCUAGUGAGACUGCCGUUGACAAAACGGAGGAAGGUGGGGAUGACGUCAAAUCAUCAUGCCCUUUAUGACCUGGGCUACACACGUACUACAAUGGCUAUUAACAGAGAGAAGCGAGACCGCAAGGUGGAGCAAACCUCAGAAAAAUAGUCUCAGUCCGGAUUGGGGGCUGCAACCCGCCCCCAUGAAGCCGGAAUUGCUAGUAAUCGCGGAUCAGCAUGCCGCGGUGAAUACGUUCCCGGGCCUUGUACACACCGCCCGUCACACCAUGAGAGCCGGGGGGACCCGAAGUCGGUAGUCUAACCGCAAGGAGGACGCCGCCGAAGGUAAAACUGGUGAUUGGGGUGAAGUCGUAACAAGGUAACCGUAAAGGGCGAAUU
rnacentral:rRNA from 1 species